rnacentral:ncRNA from 1 species
GUGGAUGCCUUGGCACUAGGAGCCGAUGAAGGACGGGACUAACACCGAUAUGCUUCGGGGAGCUGUAAGUAAGCUUUGAUCCGGAGAUUUCCGAAUGGGGGAACCCGCUGCUCGUAAUGGAGCAGUAUCUUUACCUGAAUACAUAGGGUAUUGAAGGCAGACCCGGGGAACUGAAACAUCUAAGUACCCGGAGGAAGAGAAAGCAAACGCGAU